CCUACGGGAGGCAGCAGUGAGGAAUAUUGGUCAAUGGACGAGAGUCUGAACCAGCCACGUAGCGUGAAGGAUGACUGCCCUCUGGGUUGUAAACUUCUUUUAUAUGGGAAUAAAAUGUUCCACGUUUGGGAUUUUGUAUGUCCCAUAUUAAUAAGGAUCGGCUAACUCCGUGCCAGCAGCCGCGGUACUACGGGGGAUCCGAGCGUUAUCCGGUUUUAUUGGGUUUAAGGGAGCGUAGGUGGUUUGUUAAGUCAGUUGGGAAAGUUUGUGGCUCAACCGUAAAAUUGCAGUUGAAACUGGCAGUCUUGAGUACAGUAGAGGUGGGCGGAAUUCGUGGUGUAGCGGUGAAAUGCUUAGAUAUCACGAAGAACUCCGAUUGCGAAGGCAGCUCACUGGACUGCAACUGACACUGAGGCACGAAAGUGUGGGGAUCAAACAGGAUUAGAUACCCGAGUAGUC
rnacentral:rRNA from 1 species